GAACUGAAUGCCAACAUUAAAGAUGAAGAGGAGGAGGAGAUUGGGAGGUCUGUUUCUCAUGGCUGACUCAGAUCAAGUCUGAGGUUUGUAACAUCAACAGUGAGGACAAACACAGCCUUCCUCUCUCCUUCCACACUGAGUCCAAACCUACAGUCACUGGGUCCUGAUUGUGACAGUGGAGCCCAGUUUGCGCUGCAGGAUCCAGAGAUGACAUCAGUAAAGCUGGAAGACUGCAGUCAAACACUGGAGCUGAAUGUCAACAUUAAAGAUGAAGAGGAGGACGAGAAGAUUAGGACGUCUGUUACUCAUGGAGACCACGUUGAGACAUUCUCUACAUCCAGAGAGCAACAUCAGGAAGAUCACAGAGCUAGGAGGUCUCACCACUGCCCACAUUGUGAGGAGAUUUUCCCACUUCCAUCAAAACUAAAAAUACACCUAAAAAUACACGCAGGAGAAAAGCCUUACUCCUGCUCUGACUGUGGGGCGAGUUUCUCUCGACUGGGCACCUUAAAACAACACGAAGGUAUACACACAGGAGAGAAGCCUUACUCCUGCUCUGACUGUGGGGCAAGGUUCUCUCGACUGGGCACCUUAAAACAACAUGAACAUACACACACAGGAGUAAAGCCGUACUCCUGUUCUGACUGUGGAAAGAGUUUCUCUCGACUGGGUAACUUAAAACAACAUGAACGUAUGCACACAGGAGAGAAGCCUUACUCCUGCUCUGACUGUGGGGUGAGUUUCUCUCAUCCGGGCACCUUAAA